rnacentral:rRNA from 1 species
UCGGAGAGGAAAGUGGANUUCCUAGUGUAGCGGUGAAAUGCGUAGAUAUUAGGAAGAACACCAGUGGCGAAGGCGACUUUCUGGACGAAAACUGACGCUGAGGCGCGAAAGCCAGGGGAGCGAACGGGAUUAGAUACCCCGGUAGUCCUGGCCGUAAACGAUGGGUACUAGGUGUAGGAGGUAUCGACCCCUUCUGUGCCGGAGUUAACGCAAUAAGUACCCCGCCUGGGGAGUACGACCGCAAGGUUGAAACUCAAAGGAAUUGACGGGGGCCCGCACAAGCGGUGGAGUAUGUGGUUUAAUUCGACGCAACGCGAAGAACCCUACCAGGUCUUGACAUUGAUGGACAGAACCAGAGAUGGUUCCUCUUCUUCGGAAGCCAGAAAACAGGUGGUGCACGGUUGUCGUCAGCUCGUGUCGUGAGAUGUUGGGUUAANNNNNNCAACGAGCGCAACCCCUAUCUUAUGUUGCCAGCACUUUGGGUGGGGACUCAUGAGAGACUGCCGCAGACAAUGCGGAGGAAGGCGGGGAUGACGUCAAAUCAUCAUGCCCCUUAUGACCUGGGCUACACACGUACUACAAUGGGAGUUAAUAGACGGAAGCGAGAUCGCGAGAUGGAGCAAACCCGAGAAACACUCUCUCAGUUCGGAUCGUAGGCUGCAACU